rnacentral:rRNA from 1 species
UACGUAGGGCGCAAGCGUUGUCCGGAAUUAUUGGGCGUAAAGAGCUCGUAGGCGGCCUGUUGCGUCCGCUGUGAAAUCCCGGGGCUCAACCCCGGGCGUGCAGUGGAUACGGGCUGGCUAGAGGCAGGCAGGGGAGAACGGAAUUCCCGGUGUAGCGGUGAAAUGCGCAGAUAUCGGGAGGAACACCGGUGGCGAAGGCGGUUCUCUGGGCCUGUACUGACGCUGAGGAGCGAAAGCGUGGGGAGCGAACAGG